UACGAAGGGGGCUAGCGUUGCUCGGAAUCACUGGGCGUAAAGCGCACGUAGGCGGAUUGCUAAGUCAGGGGUGAAAGCCCGGAGCUCAACUCCGGAAUUGCCUUUAAGACUGCAUCGCUAGAACGUCGGAGAGGUGAGUGGAAUUCCGAGUGUAGAGGUGAAAUUCGUAGAUAUUCGGAAGAAACACCAGUGGCGAAGGCGACUCACUGGACGACUGUUGACGCUGAGGUGCGAAAGCGUGGGGAGCAAACAGGG
rnacentral:rRNA from 1 species